GAUGAACGCUGGCGGCGUGCCUAAUACAUGCAAGUCGAGCGAACGGACGAGAAGCUUGCUUUUCUGAUGUUAGCGGCGGACGGGUGAGUAACACGUGGAUAACCUACCUAUAGGACUGGGAUAACUUCGGGAAACCGGAGCUAAUACCGGAUAAUAUUUUGAACCGCAUGGUUCAAAAGUGAAAGACGGUCUUGCUGUCACUUAUAGAUGGAUCCGCGCUGCAUUAGCUAGUUGGUAAGGUAACGGCUUACCAAGGCAACGAUGCAUAGCCGACCUGAGAGGGUGAUCGGCCACACUGGAGCUGAGACACGGUCCAGACUCCUACGGGAGGCAGCAGUAGGGAAUCUUCCGCAAUGGGCGAAAGCCUGACGGAGCAACGCCGCGUGAGUGAUGAAGGUCUUCGGAUCGUAAAACUCUGUUAUUAGGGAAGAACAUAUGUGUAAGUAACUGUGCACAUCUUGACGGUACCUAAUCAGAAAGCCACGGCUAACUACGUG
rnacentral:rRNA from 1 species